GGUGACACUCUAAAGAUGAACAUUUCUCCAAGGUUUGUGACUGUGAUACUCUUACUAUUUGGAAAAACUAGUGAAGACUCAGUGACCCAAAAGGAGGGCAAAGUGACCGUGACAGAAGGAAUGUUUCUGACCAUAAAUUGUACUUACGCAGCAACAGGUUACCCUUCUCUUUCCUGGUAUGUCCAGUAUCCUGGAGAAGGUCCAGAGCUCCUUUUCAAAGUCACAAGGGCUGGUGAAAAGGGAGCCCAUAAAAGUUUUGAAGCCACAUACAAUAAAGAAACCACCUCAUUCCACUUGGAGAAAGCCUCAGUCCAAGAAUCAGACAUGGCUGUGUACUACUGUGCCCUGAGUGACACAGUGGUAGAAACCAAAGGAGGAGCUGAGCACAAACUAAGCAGCUUCAAGGGCCUGACUUCUGGGUGUCUGCUCUAG